rnacentral:rRNA from 1 species
AGUGAACGCUGGCGGCGUGCUUAACACAUGCAAGUCGAACGAGAACGGAAUAUAGCUUGCUAUAUUUGUCAGCUAAGUGGCGCACGGGUGAGUAAUGUAUAGAUAACCUGCCCUUAAGAAAGGAAUAACAGUUGGAAACGACUGCUAAUGCCCUAUAUGCCUUUAAUACAUAAGUAUGCAAGGGAAGCGCUUUAGUGCUUAAGGAUGGGUCUGUAUGGCAUCAGCUUGUUGGUGAGGUAAUGGCUCACCAAGGCUAUGACGCCUAACUGGUUUGAGAGGAUGAUCAGUCAAACUGGAACUGAGACACGGUCCAGACUCCUACGGGAGGCAGCAGUGGGGAAUAUUGCACAAUGGACGAAAGUCUGAUGCAGCAACGCCGCGUGGAGGAUGACACAUUUCGGUGCGUAAACUCCUUUUAUAUAGGAAGAUAAUGACGGUACUAUAUGAAUAAGCACCGGCUAACUCCGUGCCAGCAGCCGCCGUAA